UGGGGAAUUUUGGGCAAUGGGCGAAAGCCUGACCCGGCAACGCCGCGUGAAGGAUGAAGUAUUUCGGUAUGUAAACUUCGAAAGAAUAGGAAGAAUAAAUGACGGUACUAUUUAUAAGGUCCGGCUAACUACGUGCCAGCAGCCGCGGUAAUACGUAGGGACCAAGCGUUGUUCGGAUUUACUGGGCGUAAAGGGCGCGUAGGCGGCAAUUCAAGUCAUCUGUGAAAUCUCCGGGCUUAACUCGGAACGGUCAGAUGAUACUGCUUUGCUAGAGUGCAGAAGGGGCAAUCGGAAUUCUUGGUGUAGCGGUGAAAUGCGUAGAUAUCAAGAGGAACGCCUGAGGUGAAGACGGGUUGCUGGGCUGACACUGACGCUGAGGCGCGAAAGCCAGGGGAGCAAACGGGAUUAGAUACCCGCGUAGUCCCUGAGCGGGCUGGCAAGGCGCAU
rnacentral:rRNA from 1 species